AGGAGAGCCAUCACCAAGCCCAGCAGACUACCAUAGACAAGCACACAGAAAUGAGCAGACAAGGACUAUGGAAACCAGGGUUGAAAUCAGAGGGCUGGUACUAAAGGUUGUGGGAUGAAGAGUCAGACAGGAUUUGCACGGCUCCCUGAAUGUUGGGGCAGAACAUGUCAUCCAUGGAAAUUGACUUAUUUUGUUCUACAAGGAAAAAACCAGGUGUCAGCACAAGAAGAGAAGUAUAACCAACCCCAUGACCAUAAACUGAAACAGGUGUGUGUGCUUUUAGUUUGAGGGGAAUAAUCUACACCAAUAAAAGU